rnacentral:rRNA from 1 species
ACUCAAAGGAAUUGACGGGGACCCGCACAAGCGGAGGAUGAUGUGGUUUAAUUUGACGCUACGCGAAGAACCUUACCCAGGCUUGACAUCCUAGGAACCUUCGGGAAACCGAGGGGUGCCUUAGGGAGCCUAGUGACAGGUGCUGCAUGGCCGUCGUCAGCUCGUGUCGUGAGAUGUUGGGUUAAGUCCCGCAACGAGCGCAACCCUUAUCGUAUGUUGUAUUUUUCAUGCGAGACUGCCCGGGCCAACCGGGAGGAAGGUGGGGAUGAAGUCAGGUCAGCAUGGCCCUUACGCCUGGGGCUACACACGUCAUACAAUGGCCGGUACAACGCGCCGCUAAGCCGCGAGGCGGAGCUAAUCGCACCAAAACCGGUCCCAGUUCGGAUUGCAGGCUGCAACUCGCCUGCAUGAAGUCGGAUUCGCUAGUAAACGUGGGUCAGCAUACCACGUUGAAUACGUUCCCGGGUCUUGUACACACCGCCCGU